CGAGCACGCGCGUGUGGCAUAUCAAUAAGCGGAGGAAAAGAAACUAACAAGGAUUCCCUUAGUAACGGCGAGUGAAGCGGGAAGAGCUCAAAUUUGAAAUCUUCAAGGUUCUACCUUGACGAAUUGUAGUUUAUAGAAGUGUUUUCUGUUAGUAGAGUGGCAAAAGUUCUUUGGAAUAGGACAUCAUAGAGGGUGAGAAUCCCGUAUUUGGUCAUUCCUCCUAGCUUUGUGAUACACUUUCAACGAGUCGGAUUGUUUGGGAAUGCAGUCCAAAAUGGGUGGUAAAUUUCAUCUAAAGCUAAAUAUGGCGAGAGACCGAUAGCGAACAAGUACCGUGAGGGAAAGAUGAAAAGAACUUUGAAAAGAGAGUUAAACAGCACGUGAAAUUGUCAAAAGGGAAGCGUUUGACACCAGUGUUGUUUUUCCGAAAAUCAAUUACGAAUGUUUUGUUUUUGAGGAGUUAUGACUUCAUCGGCUUGCUCCUUUCUUUACGAAACUUUCUUAAUGCACUUUUCGGUUAACAAGUCAACAUCAAUUUCUUUUGUUGUAAAAGGGUAUGAGGAAGGUGGCUUUCUUUUCGGAGAAAGUGUUUAUAGCCUUGUAGCCUCUGCAAUCGGAGAGAUUGAGGUCUGCAGCGUAGAUCCUUCGGGGUUAGAUACAGUUUGUGCUAAGUUAUAGCUUUUCAUAGACAACUUGUUGACUAUGUUUAGUCUUGUAGCUUACUCGCUGAUGCUAUUUUACCUACGCUUAGGAUGUUGAUGUGAUACUGCGAGCA
rnacentral:rRNA from 1 species